rnacentral:rRNA from 1 species
GAUGAACGCUAGCGGGAGGCUUAACACAUGCAAGUCGAGGGGCAGCAUAGGGUAGCAAUACUCUGAUGGCGACCGGCAAACGGGUGAGUAACGCGUAUGCAACCUACCCUGUACAGGGGGAUAACCCGGAGAAAUUCGGACUAAUAUCCCGUAAUAAUAUCCGGAGGCAUCUUUGGAUAUUUAAAGUUUCGACGGUACGGGAUGGGCAUGCGUAACAUUAGCUGGUUGGUAAGGUAACGGCUUACCAAGGCUAUGAUGUUUAGGGGUCCUGAGAGGGUGGUCCCCCACACUGGUACUGAGACACGGACCAGACUCCUACGGGAGGCAGCAGUGAGGAAUAUUGGUCAAUGGGCGCAAGCCUGAACCAGCCAUCCCGCGUGCAGGAAGACGGCCCUAUGGGUUGUAAACUGCUUUUCCAGGGAGAGAAACUUACGCACGUGUUGCGUGACUGACGGUACCCUGGGAAUAAGCAUCGGCUAACUCCGUGCCAGCAGCCGCGGUAAAAGUGUGUGUAC